rnacentral:rRNA from 1 species
GUUGGGAAUCUUGCGCAAUGGGCGAAAGCCUGACGCAGCGACGCCGCGUGCGGGAUGACGGUCUUCGGACUGUAAACCGCUUUUCUUGGGGACGAUGAUGACGGUACCUGAGGAAGAAGCCCCGGCUAACUCCGUGCCAGCAGCCGCGGUAAGACGGGGGGGGCAAGCGUUAUCCGGAAUUACUGGGCGUAAAGCGCACGUAGGCGGCCUGGUACGGCGGUGGUGAAAGCUCCCGGCUCAACUGGGAGAGGUCCGCCGCACCGGCUGGGCUCGAGGGUGGUAGAGGUUGAUGGAAUUCCUGGUGUAGCGGUGAAAUGCGUAGAGAUCAGGAGGAACACCCGUGGCGAAGGCGGUCAACUGGGCCACGCCUGACGCUGAGGUGCGAAAGCCAGGGGAGCGAACGGGAUUAGAAACCCCGGUAGUCC